rnacentral:other from 1 species
AUUUAAUACAUCUCAUGUUAAGGUUCAAC